rnacentral:rRNA from 1 species
GACGAACGCUGGCGGCGUGCCUAAUACAUGCAAGUCGAACGCAGUGGGGACGGGUGAGUAACACGUGGGUAACCUCCCAUCAGAGGGGAUAACACUUGGAAACAGGUGCUAAACCGAUACUGAUGGAUGGACCCGCGGUGCAUUAGCUAGUUGGUGAGGUAACGGCUCACCAAGGCCACGAUGCAUAGCCGGCCGGAGAGGUGGAUCGGCCACACUGGAACUGAGACACGGCCCAGACUCCUACGGGAGGCAGCAGUAGGGAAUCUUGGACAAUGGGCGAAAGUCUGACGGAGCAACGCCGCGUGAGUGAAGAAGGUUUUCGGGUCGUAAAGCUCUGUUGUUAGAGAAGCGUUAUCUAACCAGAAAGCCCCGGCUAACUACGUGCCAGCAGCCGCGGUAAUAC